rnacentral:lncRNA from 1 species
AGCUUUCGUUUUCUGAAAAUAAAACUUGAAUUGAUUUCAUUGCUUACAGGCCAACGUAUAUAUACAUAAGAAAACAAAAUGACAGCUAGCUAAAAGAUAACAAAUUCAGAUAAAACAAAAACAAUCACUAAAUCAUUGGCCAAUAAUAUAAAGCUUCUAGAAUCUUCAUCUAAUCAUCCCAUGUGCUGAUAUUCCUCUGUGUAACUGUUUUGCCACCUCAUUGAAUUCCUCUCAUUUCUUUCAUCAGCUGACUGUAAUUGUGAGUAGCUCAGGUGGCAUGCCACUGUAGCAUUGAGGUCAUCAGUUGACUGGCUAAGAUCAUGGCUGCCAUGGCUGCUAUUUUCAACAUAUGGUAGAUUUCAAAAUGACAAAUAAUCACUGUCCCAUUUUUAGUUGUGGUUGUAAGCAGCCCACGUAGUUCUUCAGUUUUUUUAUUUCAUUAUAAAACUUUUUUUUUCCUUGGCAUUAUUAGCUGGAAGAUUGAUAUAAUUUUGAUUCAAGAUUUGUGUGCUUGCUUUCUUCAGAGAAACAUAUUUGGCAGCUUUUCCAUGACAUUAUAUGAGAUUACUCCUUGCUGUUGUGAGUUAGCUGCCCAUCUUGGUUCUGUUCACUAGAUGCCACACUGAAUCUGCCAGUUUGCUGUUCUCUGUCAAUCUUUUGAGAAUGGCGGCCUGUCAGCUCUUCGGUGGUGAUGCCUUAUGUAACACCCGUUGGUUUUGUUAUAUUAAUAUUAUUAUUAUUAUUUUUUUGAAAAGAAAUUUCAUUAAGCAAAACUAAUUACAAACUGUUUAAUAACCAAGAGGGUGGAGCUAAGUUCCACACUCUAGAAUGUGACAUAGAACUUCCUGCCCUCGCAAUAGUGUGAGCAACAAAAUUCGCAGAUCGACGAACAAACGAGAACUUCACUUCUCCUAUAGAUAGAGCUAAUGCCCGACACUCCUCAAUAAUGAGACCAAAGCCAUUAGGGCCUGAAAAACCAGUCAAAACUUGAAAAACUUGAAGGUAAUCUAUCUCAACAACACAUGGGAACUGUAAUUUCUUUAACCAGCUAAGGGCCUCCCGAAUACCAAGAGCUUCUGCCUCCCUUGCACCAAACAUUCCAGGUCUGCCAACACACCUUGCUGCCAAAAAACAGCCAUCUGAGUUACGAAGAACACACCCCAGCCCAAACCUUCUCUGUGGAAUAUACUUGGUUUGAGAUAGCAAAAUGGCAUUUUGUUUUCUGUUUACCUGAAUCCCCAGAAAAAAGUUUAGCUCUCCCAAAUCCUUUAAGGCAAAGGUCUUAUUUAAGUUGCUAACCAGCUCUUCAAUACUACCACUGUUAUCACCAGUAAUAAUAAUGUCAUCAACAUAAAUAAGCAAUAUAACUAUCUCAGAUUUAGUUUUUCUGUAGAACAAUAAGGUAUCACACUUAGAAUUUUCAAAUCCCCAAGAGUUCAAGGCACCCUUCAGUUUGUCAAACCAUGCCCUGGGGGCUUGUCUCAAGCCAUACAAUGCUUUCUUUAAUCUGCAUAUGUGAUUGGGCUUGCUUUUGUUCACAAAACCUUCAGGCUGUGGCAUGUAAACCAUCUAUGUCAGCUCACCAUUUAAGAAAGCAUUGUUUAUAUCUACCUGCCUCAGCAACCAGUCAUUGUUCACUGCCAAAGUGAGGAUGAUUCUGAUUGUUGCAACCUUGACAACUGGGCUGAAAGUCUCUGUGAAAUCAAUGCCUGGAAUUUGCAAGAACCCCUUCACCACUAAUCUGGCCUUAUAUUUGUUUAUGGUUCCAUCUGGAUUCUCUUUAACUCUGUACACCCAUUUAUUUCCAAUCAGCUUGUAGCUUGAGUCAUUUGGUACCAAGGUCCAUGUUCCAUUUUUCAUUAAGGCAUUGUACUCAUCUUCCAUUGCCCUUUUCCAGCUUGGUUCUUUUAAAGCUUCUGAGGUGUUUGAGGGUAAUGCUAUGUGUGGUUGAGUAGUGAUUUGGUACAACUUUGGUUUAAAGAUCCCUGCUUUAGAUCUUGUUACCAUAGGAUGUGAUGGUAUAGCUUCUUUUGUGUUGGGUGCUGUGAUAGGGGAUGAAGGUUGGUCAUUUGCUUGAGGCUGGUGAUUUGAAUGAGGUGAGGAUAGCUGAUUAUUUGAUAUCAUAUCAUUGCUUAAAUUCUGUUGUGUCUUACCUUGGUCAAGGUUCUGGGAUUUUUUUGUGUUUUCAGGAGCUACAAGAGAGUGGCUUUGAUCAGCUGCUGACUGAGUGUUUUGAGGAGUAUCAAGGAAGAAUGACACGACCUGAAAUUUUUCUAAAAGAUUAAGGAAGACAUCCUGACUUGUGGACUCUUCCCUGCUGAACUUGGGGUCAUUAGAAAAAGGGAAUGAGCUUUCAUUGAACCUGACACUUGUAGAGACAUAUAUUCUACCUGAGUGAUGCAUGCAGACAUAUCCUUUGUGAGUUAAGCUUAUUCCUAGUAGUGUGCAUUUGGCAGUAUGGAAAUCAAACUUGUGCUUGUUAUAUGGUCUUAGAAAUGGAUAGCAUUCACAUCCAAACACUUUGAUUUGUGAGUAAUUUGGUUUGUAAUGGUAAAGCAUUUCAAAGGGGGUUUUGUUUCCAAUAACAGGUGAGGCUAAUCUGUUGAUAGUGUAGGUAGCAUAACUGAAGGCUUCUUGCCAGAAUUUUAAUGGCAUUUUAGCUUGUGCCAGCAAUGUGAGUCCAGUUUCUACCACAUGUCUGUGCUUUCUCUCAACCUUCCCAUUUUGUUCAUGUAAAUAAGGACAUGAUUGUCUCAAUAUAAUGCCCUCUUUGUCAAGGAAUGGUUUGAAUGGUUUAAACUCUCCUCCCAUGUCUGUCUGUAGUGCUUUAAUUUUCAGAUUCAGUUGAUUUUCAAUUUGGCUUUUGAAGGUGAUGAAUGUGUUGAGAGCUUGAGAUUUUGUUGCCAAAGGAAACAACCAGGUGUAUCUUGUCAUGUCAUCCACAAAAGAUAUGUAAUAUUUGUGUCCAUGAUUUGAAGGAAUUGGUGCUGGUCCCCAUAGGUCAGCAUGAAUCAGCUCUAGGGCUUUGCUGGUUUUAGUUUCUGUGCUUUUGAAAUUUUGCUUAGACAAUUUUCCAUACUGACAUGCACAACAAAAUGAAGGAACAUAAUUCUUGUUUAAUUUGAACUGAUUACAAGACAACAAAGUGCUUUUCAAGGCAGACUCAUUUGGAUGCCCUAGUCUGAGAUGCCAGAGAUCAAUAUCUUUCAAAACAUCAUUGCUUGACUCAUCAGUUUUAGAAGACUCAAAACAAACAUUAGCUAGCUUGACACUACUAGGAUUAAAUGACAACAUAGACACUGGAUUGCUGAUGCAACUUAUUGACUCAGACAUAAAAGAUGAAGACAAAACAGCAGCAUAAGGAGUUUUGCUCCCACUCAGGUGAGUAGGCAAGCACAGCAACUCAUAAAGCCCCUCUCUAGCACUAGGAUUAAAUGACAACAUAGAUACUGGAUUGCUGAUGCAACUUAUUGACUCAGACAUAAAAGAUGAAGAUAAAACAGCAGCAUAAGGAGUUUUGUUCCCACUCAGGUGAGUAGGCAAGCACAGCAACUCAUAAAGCCCCUCUCUAGCCACUCCUUUCACCAGAAUUUUCCCUUGCUUCUUGUCCUUGAUAAAGCACAUAGAUUUUUGAAAUUCAAUGUCAAUAUCAUUGUCAUGUAAUAAUCUGGAAAUGCUAAUGAGAUUUUUAGUGAUGCUUGGCACAAAUAAUAUGUCAUUCAAGGCAAUGUGUUUAUGUGGAUUUGAAGUGGAAAGCAUAGAAUUACCAACAUGAGAGAUCAGGAGUUUUUCACCAUUUCCAACAGUUAAUUUUUCAUUACCUUGAUACUCAGAGUUGAUGUUUAUGUUACCAAGAGCAUUUGUCACAUGGUUUGUGGCACCACUGUCCAGGUACCAGGCUCCACUGCUUUGGCCAUCGGUUGCAGCCACAUAUGCACCUCUUGGUUCUCUCCUUUGGCUUGGUUGUGGCACAUAAUUCUUUUUGAAUCUGUGCCAGCAAUCAGCAGCUGUGUGUCCCAUUUUCCAGCAAAUUUGACAAGGCCCCUUUGGAUUUGAACCAUCCUCAUCACUCACAGCUUUACCUUUCCCUUUGUCCUGAGAGUUCUGAUUUCCCUGACCAGAUCCAUUUCCAGGGGUUCUGAAAAUUAUUCCAGGUUGGUGUUGGUUUCCAGCCCUGUUGUGGUUGUUCCAAUUCCUUCUUCCAUUUCUUGCUUGUGCAGUUUGCCUCUAUAGUCCCUGAGCUUAAGUUAUGUUUAGUUCUGUUUUCUUGACUGAGAAGCAUGCCAUAGACUUCAGAAUGUGAGGGACUUUCUUGCAUUGAGUUUAUGCUAGCUAUAACUGGGUCAUAUUCUGAUCCUAAACCAGCAAAUACACACAUGAUAAAGUCAUCAUCACUCAUGUUACUCCCUGCAGCCCUAAGAGCAUUCAAUAUGGACUUCAUUCUAGAGUAAUACUCAUGAAUAGUUAAUGAACCCUUUUUGGUGGUCUGGAUUUGUGUUCUGAGGUGUAAGAUUCUAGCUCUAGUUCUUGCACCAAACUGAUUGGAAAGAGUUGUCCACACCUCAAGAGAAGUGGAACAAUCCACCACAAUGCCUAAAACUUCCUCAGUCAGUGAAGAUAACAACCAACUCAGAAGAAUGUGGUCUUGUUUCUUCCAGACUUGGUAUUCUGGGUUGGGUGUGGUAACUAUUGUUUGGUCUUGUCCAAGGUUUAUGAAGACUCUAGGAGGGCAGAUAUGACUGCCAUCUAUGAACCCCUCAAGCUCAUUUGCUCUAAUGCUGGAAAUCACUUGUGAUCUCCAGAGCAUGAAAUUGUUUUGAUUGAGCUUAAUGGGGGUUGUGAAUACAUAUGUGCUGCUAGUGAUGUGUUGAGUGGGUGAGGGUGUGUUGUGACUUGAACUUCGUUCAGUGUUUUGAUUUUCAUUUUGAUUCAAGUUGCCCAUCUGAUCAUUUUGAUUCACAUUUGCUUGUGUGCUGCUACUGCUUGCCAUAGCUUUAAAGAUGGCUCUGAUACCAACUUAAAAUUCUUAGAGAAUUGCUUUUUCUUAGCAAGCAGAGCAGAGUAAAACCAGAGAGCUUUCGUUUUCUGAAAAUAAAACUUGAAUUGAUUUCAUUGCUUACAGGCCAACGUAUUUAUACAUAAGAAAACAAAAUGACAGCUAGCUAAAAGAUAACAAAUUCAGAUAAAACAAAAACAAUCAUUAAAUCAUUGGCCAAUAAUAUAGAGCUUCUAAAAUCUUCAUCCAAUUAUCCCAUGUGCUAAUAUUCCUCUGUGUAACUGUUUUGCCACCUCAUUGAAUUCCUCUCAUUUCUUUCAUCAGCUGACUGUAAUUGUGAGUAGCUCAGGUGGCAUGCCACUGUAGCAUUGAGGUCAUCAGUUGACUGGCUAAGAUCAUGGCUGCCAUGGCUGCUAUUUUCAACAG